UACGUAGGGGGCAAGCGUUGUCCGGAAUCAUUGGGCGUAAAGCGCGUGUAGGCGGUUCGGUAAGUCUGCUGUGAAAGUCCAGGGCUCAACCCUGGGAUGCCGGUGGAUACUGUCGGACUAGAGUACGGAAGAGGCGAGUGGAAUUCCCGGUGUAGCGGUGAAAUGCGCAGAUAUCGGGAGGAACACCGGUGGCGAAGGCGGUUCUCUGGGCAUUACCUGACGCUGAGGAGCGAAAGUGUGGGGAGCGAACAGG
rnacentral:rRNA from 1 species